rnacentral:rRNA from 1 species
AACCUCUACAAUGCACGAAAGUGUGAUAGGGGGAUUCCACGUGCAAGCUUUGCUUGCUUUUCCCAAGUCCAAAACGCUUGGGGAAUAAGGGCUGGGCAAGACCCGUGCCAGCCGCCGCGGUAACACGGGCAGCUCGAGUAGCGUUCGCGAAUAUUGGGCCUAAAGCGUGCGUAGCCGGCUAAGAAAGUUCUUUGUGAAAGCAUGCGACUUAAUCGUGUGAAUUGCAAGGAAUACUCCUUGGCUUGGGACCGGGAAGGGUUGGAGGUAUUUCCGGGGUAGGGGUAAAAUCCUGUGAUCCCGGAAGGACCAUCGGUGGCGAAGGCGUCCAACUGGAACGGGUCCGACGGUGAGGCACGAAAGCUAGGGGAGCGACCCGGAUUAGAUACCCGGUUAGUCCUAGCCGUAAAUGAUGCAGGUUUGGUAUUGCACUCCUUACGAGGGAUUGCAGUGCCGUAGGGAAGCCGUUAAACCUGCCGCCUGGAAGUACGCCGCAAGGC